CCUUAGUGGGAUUUGAAACCUGAACCAUCAGACUGUAAGGCAGUAGUCAUAUCCACAACACCACAGAGCGGCCUGUCAGCUAUUGCUUUUUUCUGUUUAAGUUAAAAGAAACAUGCCUUAACAACAUUCUUAACCUGAAAGGCAGGUGGUAAGUUGAUUUAAAUUGUUAUUAUCGGUGGAACAUAAAGGGAGAUAUAUUUGGGUGUCGUCGGCGUAAUAGUGGUAUUGUACGUUAUGGUUACUGAUGAUUUGACCCAGGGGAAGCAUGUAAACAGAGAACAGUAAUGGACCUGGAAUCGGCCCUUGAGGAACAACUUGUCUGAGGAUUCUAGACAUUGAAGGAGGACGGGGUGAUCAACAGUGCCAAAUGCUGCAGUCAGAUCCAGUGAAGCCAAGAAAGAACUUUCUCCUCUAAUCAGCUGCAAGGAGACAGCUGAGGAGAGACAGGAAACGUGGGGAGUAAGGGAAGACAUGAAGCAAAUGGUCGAGGCCGGGAGUUGACCAGGAUCCCCUGUGGCUAAUACAUUUACUAUUGACAAGUGACUCACGCAACCCCACUUUAG